AGUAACACCUCCUUAAAAAACCUUGGCCCAGCCGGCCCGGCUGGUAGCACCUCGUAAGGGCCCCUUCCCAGGGUUACGGGAGAAGACGGUCAACGGGUUUGGAAGGCGGAAGGGGGCUCUACGCCCCAACGGCAGAUCCAGCACAAGAAACCAUCGUCUGGGAGAAGGGAAACUCCCAUUACAAGCCUCCACUGCCUUGUGGCUCCAUCCAUUCAGGAGUCAACUGAACAAAGCAUCAUCCCUAUGCACGUAAUUAGGGGAAUAAAGGGAAGAAAGAGAAAGGAAAAACUAGUCGGAGUGAUUGUGGUUGUGUUUAAGAGCCUGACAGCUCAAGGAUAGGAACUAUUUUUAAGCCUAUUUGUUUGGCUGGCUCUGCUUCGAUGUCUUCAGACAAAUGGUUAUCCGAUCUCUUCUUAAAAACCUGCCCCAUGGGUCUUGUGAUCCCUUUUAGCGAUCUUCUGAUCAGCAAAGUCGAUGAGGAAGACGGAUUCACUUAACAACAGUGUCACUAAAUGGAACAACUGCAGUGGGCCACCACAACCGCAGUGGUAAAAUGGGUCUUGAUUUUGUCAGCUCCGGACAAAUAGCACAGAGUGUUGGUUUUUGAAGCGUGCAAACACUCUCAGAACGGAGGCGAGAACCGUACCCGGACAAAAGGCAGCUCCAACUUUUCAGGGAGAAAUUAAAGCCCAGGGCAUCCCGAGAGAAAUAAUGACAGCAUCCGAAUCUUCUUGGAGGGAAGAAAGAAGGGACCCGAGAAAAGGAAGCGAC